AAUAAUUAAUAAUAAUUGUCCAAAAAGAAAAAUUCAUUACAUGGUAUGUAAAUACUUGUCAUACGCGACAUUAAUUUUCGUGUUAAUUAAUUACAACAGUAAUUAUGAUAUAAUGCUAUUAUAUGAACCUCAUCAUAUACAUUGCUUCACAAUAGAUAUUACAUUUUAAAAUCUGUAAGUAACUGUAAAUUUAAUAACAAUUAUAAUUUUUCAAUUCAAAUUAAACUUGCUUCUGCUUGUUUCUUUUUCUUUCUUUUUUUUUUUUUUUGUUGUUUUUUUCUUUUUUUUUUUUUUCUUUUUUUUUCUUUUUUUUUCUUUUUUUUAGCACAGAAUACAAAAAAGAUAGCAACAGUAUUUGAUUAGAAACUAACACAUCUCAUUUUUAUCUACAAAACUAAUCAACUUUGUACGUAUUACUUUGAAGGCUGUGAGAAUUAAAAUUGUUUAAGGAAAAAUUUGAAUGCAGAAUGAAGUAUUUUUUUCAUAUUUUUUACCUAUAAUACAAUCUUUAUUUCACAAAUGCUUCCGACGGUAUUCGUCCAUGUUUGAAAAGUUCUUGAAAAGCUAAAAUUGCAUUUUCAUAAUUCCAGUGAACUUCCUGCAAACAUUUCAAACUCCAUUCUGAAUUCAUGUUCGUUUCUUGACUUAAUGUUAAAGCCAUUUUUUGUUUUACGUCUUCUGUUAAUUGCGGCGAUUGUAUUUCUGUUAAAGUUUUAGAUCCACUUGGUAUAUCAGACAUUUGUACUGAGAAAUUAUCAGUGAUUAAUUUUUUACGUUGUUCUUCGGUAGGAAGACUAAUAUGCAAUUGCUCAUUACAGAUGCAAUAGCCACUUCCUUUUGGUAUUAUGAUAAAUGUCCUAUUGAAAUAACGUAAUUGAUCACCUUUAUUAUUCAAUUCGUCAAAUAAUCCUGUUACUGUGAUUAACAUCAUUCCUUCCUGUAAUAGGAAAAAAAAAAAAAAAAAAGAAAAGUAAAUUUUAUUUAUCAACUUAUUUAUAUAGUAUAUAAAAAAUUUCUUCUUAAUAUUCUUCAAAUAAUAUUAACUUACGCUUACAAUACUGACAUCCAUUGUAAAGGUAUUUAAGUGAUGCUUUAUUCGUGGUAGUCCUAUUAUAAAAGAUAGGACUGGUAAUUUACCUUGCUUUAAUAAUUUUUGCCUCUUAUUAUUAUUAAUUAUUCUAAACAAAUUUCUAUUCUCUGAAAGAUAUGCACUUAAUCUGAAAAUUCCAAUAAUUUACAAUAACAUUAUGAUCUAUAAUAUAUCGUAAAAAGUAUAAUAUAUUAUAAAUUUUUUCACUUACUUGUCAGUAUUUUGAGGAUUAUUUAUCACUGUCAAACUGAAACGUGCAUGCUCAUCGUAUGCAUCUAAUAAUAGAUGCCUAUUUUCACUAUCAAAAAUAAUAAAAUAUUGUUGCAAGAAUUGACUUGCUAUGUCUUGUGCUUUAGUAUCUGUGACAAAUAAUCGUUGAGUAGGAGGCAUUUUUGUUGUAUCAUUUGCAACGUCAAAUAAUAUUGGACGUGGUAAUUCCAUACCAUCCUUUAAAACAGAUAAACUUUUAGUAAAAUCAUUAUUAUAUUUAUACAUAAUUAUUUUCUUAAUACAAUAUAAUAUAACUUCUUCUAUUAUAUACUCAAUAAUUAGAUUAUUUCCUUACCAGUCUUAAAAGCUUAGGAAAUAUUUUCCGUACACCGCUGUUGUUAAGAAAGAAGAACCAGAAACACAAAAACUCCAAGUUAGUUGUGAUAACAAAAAAAUUUAUUGUAUUAUUAUAUAAUAAAUUAUCAAAGAAUGCAGAUAUUAAUUAAUUUUAUUAAUUAAACAUAAAGAAUUGUAUUUAAUAUAAAAAUCGUUAAUAAUAUUCACAUAUAAAAUCAAAGAUUAAAUAUUGACAAUAUUUGUAGAAAUUUAUCAAAAUACAUAUUCUACAUUCUUUGGCAAAUGUUUUUCAUUAAAAAUAAAGAAAAAAUUAUGUAAAAUAUAAUAAUACAUUACCUAAUAUAGUCACUUUGACGAGACAUAUACCUAUUGGAGACAGGAUUUCCUGCCAAUCUUAAUUCUUCUAAUUGUAAUUCUUUUAUAGCAUCUAACUGCCCCAUUUCUUUUAUCUACAACAAAUACAUAUAUAUGUAUGUUUUUUUACAUUAUAUAUAUUUGUAUUUUGUUAGAUUUAUGUAUAUAUAUAUAUAUAUAUAUGAUUUACCUUAUUAUCUCCUAUAUAAAGUAUUUUUAAUCUUGGAAAUUUUUUAUAUAGUACAUCAAGUUUUUCAAUCAUAUGUAACUUGUUACCGUCUAGGUUCAAUGCUUCUAACGUGGGUAUAUACUCGGAAACAAUAUCUAACACUGCCAUUAACAUAAUUGGUCGAGAUAGCGCACAAAAGUAAUCCGCAAUAAGCAUCACUGAUUUCACACUGUGGAAGUCCUAAUUUAAUUUUUACUCGAAGUUUAAAUCCAUUUGUUGUUGUAAUUUUACGAUCACAAUGAAGAAGAACAUUUGCUGCUUUUUGACUAUCAACAUAAAAGGAUGCUUCAUUUCCUGAGGUCUUAUACUACAAAUAAUUUUCAAAAAAACAUUAAAAGUCUGGAAAGUUGAAUUAAUAGACAGGAAUUAUAAAAUAUCUAUUAUAAAUGUAUUUACCAUUAUAGGUACAAAAGCUUCUGAAGCAAUGCUAUUAAGACUACUCAAAAUAUAAUCUUUUGUAUAUUUUGCCCCAAAUGGUAUCUAAAAAAUAAAUAGAUAAGUAUACAUAUAAAUAGUAUAUAAAUAAAAACAAUCACACAUUAACUCGAAAUAUUUACCGUAAUUUUAUACCAGCUAGUUUCACCAGCAGGUAGUGAUUGAGACAUUGAUAAGAUACCAUUACGAAGUGCUCUAUGUGGUAAAGGACUAUUUCUUCCUCGAGAUAAACCUCUACUCCUUCUCCAAACAAUGACUUGUCUAUUGUUAUUAUUGGAAGUUCCUGCCAUUGGAAUAUCAUUAUCUAAUGUCAAAGUUAAACUUCUUGAUAUAUCUCUGUUCGAUCUUCCUUGAGGUUUAAAAGACACACGACGUCUAUUUCCAAAUGUUCCAUCGCUUGUUCUUCCAACACGAUCAUCAUGUCCUAUUGGACAUAUUCUAUUUGCAUAUUUUGCAUAUUUCCUAUGACUUUAUAAAUAAUUGAUAAAACAUUCAAGAGUUUAUAUUACUAUUGUAAUUAUAAAUAAUACCAAAGUAAUAUUUGUCUUCUGGAU